rnacentral:rRNA from 1 species
CCUACGGGUGGCAGCAGUGAGGAAUAUUGGUCAAUGGACGAGCGUCUGAACCAGCCAAGUAGCGUGAAGGAUGACUGCCCUAUGGGUUGUAAACUUCUUUUAUAUGGGAAUAAAACGUUCCACGUGUGGGAUUUUGUAUGUACCAUAUGAAUAAGGCUCGGCUAACUCCGUGCCAGCAGCCGCGGUAAUACGGAGGAUCCGAGCGUUAUCCGGAUUUAUUGGGUUUAAAGGGAGCGUAGGUGGAUUGUUAAGUCAGUUGUGAAAGUUUGCGGCUCAACCGUAAAAUUGCAGUUGAAACUGGCAGUCUUGAGUACAGUAGAGGUGAGCGGAAUUCGUGGUGUAGCGGUGAAAUGCUUAGAUAUCACGAAGAACUCCGAUUGCGAAGGCAGUUCACUGGACUGCAACUGACACUGAGGCUCGAAAGUGUGGGUAUCAAACAGGAUUAGAUACCCCUGUAGUC